UGUUAAAAAUUUUAUCCAUUUUUACUAAUAAAUACUAGCAUGACUGAUUGCAUGUAGUGUGCCAAACGUACCACAUUCUAACGUACAAUGACAAAUUUUUAGCUGUAGAAAUAAAUGUAAUUUUUAAUA
rfam:Gossypium arboreum cultivar AKA8401 contig_19453_1, whole genome shotgun sequence.